GGGAGAUCAUCCUUUGUCAAGUAUAAGAAUUUAUUAGAGCUAAGCUGUUCUACGCAUAUGACAGACAGUGGACAACACAAAACAAUUAAGACAAAGCAAUCUACCAGUAUAACAAAGCUAACACAACUGAAAAUAGAAUACAUGUAUCAGGGGUCUACAGUAAAGAGUCUUAGGUGAAGAAUGGAAGCUCUCCACAAGGCCUUUCUGCUGCAGUUUUACUGAAUUAUGGGUGUAUCCUGAGACAGAACAUGGAAUAUCCCAAAAGAGAAAACUGGAAACAGUUGUGUCCAAAGGAAAAGACAAUACGAAGUGACAACUUGCGCUGGCCUGCAGGAACUUGAUCACGUUAACUCCCUAAUGGAGAAGCUAAUGUAUGUCACCGUUGUAGCCCUGUGCAACGAAUACAGAUUGGAGAGAACAGAGCUGCCUCUAGUUGAAUAUGUACUGAUCAAUGUGCAAAUGAUUACUGCAGCUUUCAUUUUCAACUAUGACUGGAACAAAUCUAACUCUUUAAAGGUAUUUUAGAGAUCUUUUUGCUACAUGUAAUUUAUAUCUAUUUUGGGCUGUGUCUGACACAGUUCUGAAGAUUCUGCUGGAGCGUAUCCCAAGCAGUCAUUGAGGAAGAGCUUCUCCCAGGACCAUGUAAGUUAUAGUAGCCAAUUCUGAGUAUUUUUCUUAGACUUUCUGGUGGGUUUUUAGGUUCAACUGCCCUGAAGUAUGUACCUAUAAAAUUGCAAAAGCUAAGCACCUGAAAAUAUUUAAAUUUAAUAGGGAAACAUAGGGAGAAUAGUUUCACCCUGUGUUUCUUUUCUCAGAGCAGGUGAGGUUACCACAGAAUCUUGAACAGAGUUUGAUUUGGCAGAAAGAAUAGCAUUUCAUCCAUUCCUGUCUAACAGUCAUAAACGCGAUGCAAAAAUUGAUGACUGGUUUCUGUUUUGCAUGGCUAGGCCAGCUACUUCCACAAAUUCCCUAAAGCCAAUGAAUCCAUUGAACCUUGGGGUGAAACUAUGAG
rnacentral:lncRNA from 1 species